rnacentral:misc_RNA from 1 species
GAAUGCCAUGAUCCUAAAUCCAUUUCUGUGGUUGAAAAGGUCUGCCUAAACAAAAAUGAGUGUGCGGUAGAAGUAACAGAAGAGAACUUCAGCAAGGGAUUGUGCCCCGGCACAACCAAAAAACUUGCAGUGGAAGCAGUUUGCAGCUGAAAAUUUUUCAAUUCCAGUAGCGAGAAAGUUUCAACUGUGCAGCUUUUCAUAUCUUCUCGAGUAAAAUACAAGGGGAAACGACAGAAAGCGAGAGAGAGAGAGAAUCAUUUGUCCCGGA